rnacentral:lncRNA from 10 species
CCCACCACAAAUGUUUUGUCAGAUAGUUCAGAGAGAGAGAAAGUUAAAGAACUCAUUUUCUGUAUGGUUUCUUACACAGUCCAGUUCAAGGAAUUAGCUUUCUCUCGUGACGGGCUGUGGCCAUCAGAAAAUAAUAUACAUUUUUAUUUUUGCCCUCUGCCCCUGCCUUUUUUUCUUUUUUUUCUCUUUAGGAAAUUACAAUUGACAGAAUAAAAAUCCUCCACCCAGGGUCCUGUCGAUAUUAAUGUAUCAAUUCUGACAAAUCCACUGUGAGAUGGGAAUGAUUCCUUUUCUACAAGUGUGGAAUCUGAGGCUGAGAGAAAUAAAAGAGCACAUCCAAGGCUACCCAGCAUGUCUGAUUCCAAAGUUGGGGGCUCUUACCAACACCCAACAGCUUCCAGACCUGACAUACACAUGUAUGUCAAAACGCAUGACAAACAGCCAUCAUGUUCUGAGGUAGAAAAGGUAGAAACUGAGCACCCAUCUCUCUUGUAGAAGGAGGAAUUGGAAGCCUAUUGGAAUUGUUGCAGGUGGACGGGUUGAAGAAAAGGAAAAUGAAUCCUCAUGGGAACAUUCAUGGGAAACCUCAGAUUCUGAGGUUUCUUUCAAAUAAUCUUGUUUUCUCUUCACAGAUUGGCAGCUGGUCCUGUGCUACAAAAUCACACUAUGUCAGGCCAAAACUGAUCUCUCCAUCUUUGAUUAUUUCUGAAUGUCAAGCUGAAAAAUCAGUUCAUGCUCAAAAUGGAAUGUCCAAAUGCCAAAGUGGGGCAUUAUCUUUGAAUUGCUCUGUGACCAUGGUGAUACCACUGAUCCUCUCUGAACCUCUCCUGAUCUCCAGAGGCUGACUUUACUGGGGCACCAGGGAAGAUUGGAGCUUCUUAGGGAGUUUUCUGAAUCAGUGUUUUUCUCUCCCAUGGAAAAGCAAAAAAUUACAACAGCCAAAGAUGAAACCUAAGGCAAGACAGAUGACAGCAUGAUGGAAGGAAAGAGUACACUGAGUGCCUUAUCGAUCUAUCUGCCAGCCUGUGAAUGGUGGGUAAUAAAAAUUUAUUGAAAAUUAGGGAAAAAAAUCACUUAUUCUAAUUCUUCUGAAAGGCAUUACUGAUGUUGCAUAUGAAUAAAUCCCUCCUUCCCCAGGACGAAACUACCAUCCUCCACCAUCCAACCCUCUAAACAGCACGAAUUUAAAAAUCUUGCAAUUUUAUUUGCAUA